GGGGAUGUAGCUCAGUUGGCUAGAGCACCUGCUUUGCAAGCAGGGGGUCACGGGUUCGAGUCCCGUCAUCUCCA
rnacentral:tRNA from 1 species